rnacentral:rRNA from 1 species
AUGAACGCUGGCGGCGUGCCUAAUACAUGCAAGUCGAGCGAACAGACGAGGAGCUUGCUCCUCUGACGUUAGCGGCGGACGGGUGAGUAACACGUGGAUAACCUACCUAUAAGACUGGGAUAACUUCGGGAAACCGGAGCUAAUACCGGAUAAUAUAUUGAACCGCAUGGUUCAAUAGUGAAAGACGGUUUUGCUGUCACUUAUAGAUGGAUCCGCGCCGCAUUAGCUAGUUGGUAAGGUAACGGCUUACCAAGGCAACGAUGCGCAGCCGACCUGAGAGGGUGAUCGGCCACACUGGAACUGAGACACGGUCCAGACUCCUACGGGAGGCAGCAGUAGGGAAUCUUCCGCAAUGGGCGAAAGCUUGACGGAGCAACGCCGCGUGAGUGAUGAAGGUCUUCGGAUCGUAAAACUCUGUUAUUAGGGAAGAACAAAUGUGUAAGUAACUAUGCACGUCUUGACGGUACCUAAUCAGAAAGCCACGGCUAACUACGUG